CUUUUCCGCCCGCUCCCCCCUCCCCCCGAGCGCCGCUCCGGCUGCACCGCGCUCGCUCCGAGUUUCAGGCUCGUGCUAAAGCUAGCGCCGCCGUCGUCUCCCUUCAGUCGCCAUCAUGAUUAUCUACCGGGACCUCAUCAGCCACGAUGAGAUGUUCUCCGACAUCUACAAGAUCCGGGAGAUCGCGGACGGGUUGUGCCUGGAGGUGGAGGGGAAGGUGAGUCGGUCGGGCCUGCGCAUGGGGGAGUCCGGGCCGAGCAGGCUCGGGUUUCCGCCGCUCCCCCGCCUGAGGUUGUGCAAUCCUCCCCGCCGCCUCCUGGCGGAGGAGACGCUCUUUCCGGGCUUGGGUUUUUCUAGAAAACUGGAGGCGGAGCUGAUCCUGGAAAUAGGCCCGCCACCUCGGCGCCCAUCCUCCUCCCGGGGUUGUCCGGGACAUGAUGCCUCCAGGAGCCCCGAGCCCUUUCGUGUUUGCCCUGUCCCUACUUACCAACCAGAGGCACCACGUGCCCGCAACUGGAAACAACUUUUUAAUGACCCCAUUUUUUGUUCCGGCCAACAGACAACUCUUUUAAGUUAGGCCGUUUUGAGAAAUCCACGGGUCACAACUUUAUUCCCAAAAUGGUGCUUUUUUUAUUUUCAGCAAGAACUAAGAAUACGUCUUAUCCGUGACCUAUUGGCGUGGAAGGUGCUUUGGAUGCGUUUGUGUCUUUUGCAACUAUACUGCUUUUUCUUAAUGGCAGAUGGUCAGUAGGACAGAAGGUAACAUUGAUGACUCGCUCAUUGGUGGAAAUGCCUCCGCUGAAGGCCCCGAGGGCGAAGGUACCGAAAGCACAGUAAUCACUGGUGUCGAUAUUGUCAUGAACCAUCACCUGCAGGAAACAAGUUUCACAAAAGAAGCC
rnacentral:sRNA from 1 species